rnacentral:SRP_RNA from 1 species
CCAGGCGUGGUGGUAGGUAGAUGCUUGUAAUCCCAGCUACCAGGAAGGAUCUCUUGAGCUCGGGAGUUCUGAGCUAGAGUGGUCUAUACUGAUCUUUAGUCCACACUAAGCUCAUCAAUAUGGUGGAGCUCCUAGGAAGGGGAGUGGGGCACUGGGUUGCCCAAGGAGGGUUAAACCAGUCCAGGUCAGAAAUGGAGCAAGUCAACGUUCCUGUGCCAGUCAGUAGUAGGUUUGAGCUCAUGUCCCUGGAUGAUGAGAAAGCCCAGUCUUAAAAAAAAAU